AGCCCCUGCUGCAGGAAUUGAGGCGAUGCCAGGCACAGUCACAGGAGAUGAGCAUGCUAGCAAGGCUUCCCCAGCAGCUGGGAUGGAAGAUGGUUUGGAACCCUUGGGAGCUUCUGCAGGUGUGUCUGCAGGGAGGACUUUUCAGGCUCCUUUCCUGGUUGCUGCGCACAAGCCCGGCUCCCAUCGCAGGGGUGAGUUGUGUGUCCCUGCUGACCCCACAGGCUGAGCCCUGCUUUUGUGGGAUCCAUUCCGGGGGAAAUGGACAUGCAUUCUCUUAAGGUGCGCCGCGACGGAGGAACAGAUCUACUAAACACAUGAAGUCCCUGGAGGCAUCCAAACACAUGGACCAGAUGCUGAGUGAUCUGGAGAGACGCCGUGAGAUGGACCAAAGGGCUUUGCUGAAGGCAGCACUUCCUGAAGGAAGCCGUGGCUCCGUGCCAGACCCCGAUACACGAAGGGAGGAGAUGCCAGACAGUGCCACAGAAGACGUUAUCACUGAAACAGGAAUAUUUGCCCCGGAUCCAGUGCGCCUCCCAAGAAUUGUCUGCCCCCAGGAUGUGCGCAGGUCCUGCAUGAUAGGCACGGUGGUGACACUGUUCACCGUGCCCC